rnacentral:rRNA from 1 species
AGCGAACGCUGGCGGCAGGCUUAACACAUGCAAGUCGAGCGGGCAUAGCAAUAUGUCAGCGGCAGACGGGUGAGUAACGCGUGGGAACGUACCUUUUGGUUCGGAACAACACAGGGAAACUUGUGCUAAUACCGGAUAAGCCCUUACGGGGAAAGAUUUAUCGCCGAAAGAUCGGCCCGCGUCUGAUUAGCUAGUUGGUGGGGUAACGGCCUACCAAGGCGACGAUCAGUAGCCGACCUGAGAGGGUGACCGGCCACAUUGGGACUGAGACACGGCCCAA